CGUGCCUAACACAUGCAAGUUGAGCGCUAGAGGGGGCAACCCCAAUAGAGCAGCGAACGGGUGAGUAACGCGUGGGUGAUCUUCCUUCGAGUGGGGAACAACAUCGGGAAACUGGUGCUAAUUCCGCAUAAUACCCUGGGGCUACGGGCCUCAGGAUCAAAGCCGGGGACCGUAAGGCCUGGCGCUUGAAGAUGAGCCCGCGUCCGAUUAGCUAGUUGGCGGGGUAAUGGCCCACCAAGGCUCCGAUCGGUAGCCGGCCUGAGAGGGCGGACGGCCACACUGGAACUGAGACACGGUCCAGACUCCUACGGGAGGCAGCAGUGGGGAAUUUUUCGCAAUGGGCGCAAGCCUGACGAAGCAACGCCGCGUGGAGGAUGAAGGUCUUCGGAUUGUAAACUCCUGUCGACCGGGACGAAUGCACUCGACCUAAUACGUCGGAAUGUUGACGGUACCGGUGGAGGAAGCCACGGCUAACUCUGUGCCAGCAGCCGCGGUAAUACAGAGGUGGCAAGCGUUGUUCGGAAUUACUGGGCGUAAAGGGCGCGUAGGCGGCCUUGUAAGUCUCGUGUGAAAGCCCUCGGCUUAACUGAGGAUCUGCACGGGAUACUGCAAGGCUUGAGUUCGGGAGAGGAAAGCGGAAUUCCGGGUGUAGCGGUGAAAUGCGUAGAUAUCCGGAGGAACACCAGUGGCGAAGGCGGCUUUCUGGACCGACACUGACGCUGAUGCGCGAAAGCUAG
rnacentral:rRNA from 1 species